GUAACUUUUCAAUUCUCAGCCUUGCCUCCGAUAGUCUGCCCCGACCCCCUUACCCCGCCACCCUCGCCGGCCGCUAGCCAGUCGCCAUCGAAAGCCCACGUGGGACCACGUGCCGCCCAUCAUAACCCUAUACUUGCUUAAUUUUACAAAUCUUUAUUUUUUAUAUGUUAAGAAUUAUGAGUAUUUAUGCUGAUAGUAUAAAUCUAAAAAAAAAGAAGUUUGAUUUAAUAGUCGAAUUUUUUAUCCCGAAUUUUAAUUGGUGAAUGUAUAAUUUUCGUAUAAAUCGCAUUUCCAAAUAAUUAACGUAUCAGUCUUUUAAAUUAUAUUUUUCAACGAAUUCAAAAAUUAGGACACGAAUUUUAUCCGUACUAUACUCGUACUGAAUUUUUGCCGAAUCCGAAUUAACUAACCAUGGAUUGAAUUGAUGAAAAUCAAAUGUUAGUGGAAUUUUAAAGUAGAAUAAAUUUAAUGUGAAGUAGAGGUUAAUUUAAUUAACCUAAAGACAAUUUUCCAUCUAGUUGCUUGUUUUAUAAAGUGCCUGCUGGAACUUAGCUAUGUUGUAAAUAAUUUUUCGAUAUUAUUAGCAUUUGUUGAAACAUAAAUCACAUCAUUCUAAAUUCUUAACAUUUAUAUAUAUAAUUUCAAAAGGAAUAUUUUGAACUUUGAUAAUAUUUUAAAAUUUUUAUGAGAGUGAAAAGUGGAGAAAACUUACUUUGCUCCCACAUAGGGUGAAGUCUAGCGUAGGGAAAGUCUCUGGAAAAUUAAUAUAAAACUAUCAUAAUUUUUUCUGAAACUGACAAUAAAACAAGGGUCAAUUGCAUAUAGGUCCUCACAAACAUAGUAAAUUGUAGAUAUAUUUCUAUAAAGUUCAACUUAAUUUCAUAAGUUAUUUAUGUAAAAAUUCUAAUGUUUUCAGAUAUAUUCCUGCCGUUAGAAUCCGUUAUAAAAGUUUAGUUAAUCAUAGGUUAAAUACUUUACUCGGGUUAAUUUUUGACAUUUUUACUCCUCUUAUAUUAUACUGUUAUAAUUUUUGAAAGGACAUAUUUAUGAUGGCAAAAUUGAAACUAUAAACAGUUUUCUAACGGUUCUCUAAACGGUAACAAACCAUAGAGACAUAUCUGAAAAUAUUAGGACUUUUGUAAGGAUAAUUUAUAAAAAUUAAAAUUUAUAAAAAUAUAUUUAUAAUUCACUAUAUUGGCGGGCACCUAUAUGCAAUUAACCUGUAAAAGAAACAAUGAAAAUGACCACUAUGUAUUAUUUUUAGGCAAUUACCUAUUUAUCCUUCCAAAGUUUCUGACAUUUAUAUUUAUCCUUAAAAAAUUAUCGUGCUAAAAUUUAUUCUUUUAAAAUUUUAAAUUCUUUCAAUUGUACCUUUUUAUAAGAGUGAGAUUAUAUUAAUGUACUAUUUAAACUCUCGUUAUUUUUGUAAAAUGACUAUUUUGCCCAUAAAAGAAUGUUUUUCUGCUAUCACCUUUUUUUUUUGGGGAAGGGAUUAAUUGGAGGCGAUUUUUAAUUUAGAAUUGGGGUAGGAACAUGAUAGAAUGGGAACAAUUUUUGUGGGGAUAGGUUAAGAUCAUAGAUUAAUAAGUAGGGGCAAAAAAGAUUUUUUUAACCUCCUAUUUAAAUUUAGAUCUGAUGAUAAAUAAAAUUUAACUGUGGUCUAAUUAAUUCGAGAUAAGCUAAUAAAUGUUAACAGAAUGAUUAUAUUAUAAGAAUAAUGAAGAAAGUUUAGAGGGCUAUGUUUCUUUUUUCUUCUUAAUCUUUUACACAAAUUCUUAAAAGAGAAGUUCUCAAGCAAAAAAUCUUAAAAGAGUGUUUUUUUUUUAGAGAGAUAGAUAGCACGCUACCCGCUUCGUUUAUUUCAUUUAGAAAUAAACUUAGCUGGAAAUGUAAAUCAACUAGGAUUCGAACUUGGGUUUCGGAUACCAACCACCAAGCCCUUUGCCACUUGCUCUAGGGACGGUUGGUAUCUUAAAAGAGUGUUGUUUGCAUAUUUUUCAUAGUCUUAUUAUAACUUAGAAGUGGAUUGCUUUUGAGUGAAAACAAAUAUAAUCUAAAAGAUAAUUGUUGGUAUUGUUCAUACUCUCUCUCUCUCUCUCUCUCUCUCUCUCUCAAGUGAAAAUUAAUGAUGUUAAUUCCCAUAGCACAAAACACUGGAAUAUCGCUCUUUAGUAACUUAAGCGUUCAGAGUUAUCUCGAUCGUAACCUAUAUUUUCGAAGACCUGAACCGGUUAUUUUACAUUGUUUUCAAUGGGAAAAUUAUUAAGCAUAAAAUAUUAAAACAUCAAAACCUUGGAGAAUUUUACUAUGUUUGUGGUAUGUUCUUGAUCAAAAAGCAAGAUGUUAGGGAUUUCUGGAUCAGCAAUUCUAGAAAAAGCACUUGUGCUUCAGCAGGGUUUAACAGAGCAGCAGCAUUUUUUAUAACUGUUUCUUUCCAUAGGCAUCAACACAACACCAAACACUUCUCAAUCUUAUAAGAUAAAAUUCUCUAUUAAUUAAGUUUCUAAGACAAAAAAAAACAGUUUAUCUUUAAAAGCUUUAGUAUUUAGUAUGGACUACUAUUUUAACACUUUUUUUGACACGUGCUAUACAUUGCUAGCAUGUACUACAGACACAAUACAAUUACACGACCACUUAGCGGCUAGUUAUACUUAGCCUACUAAAAAUAAAAAAUUGUGAAGUAGAUUAUCAUACUAUAGAGCUUAAGCACUUAAUAAGGACUUGGUGGUUGGUACUCGAGGUCCCAAGUCCGAAUCCUAGUUGAUUCACAUUUGCAGCUAAGUUUAUUUCUAAAUGAAAUAAACGAAACGGAUAAAAAAGAGUGACUCACAUUUUAAUACUAUGCAGCCUAAGUAUUUAGUAAGUAUUUAAUAAAGACUACUAUUCUUAAUACUAUUUCUUGAGGUAAAUUGACCCAUAUUAGUCAAUUCUUAGAAAAAUAUAGUUAAUCAUAGCUAAAAUACUAAACCCUUAUUAGUCAUUGAGUUUAAAAUAUAGUUAAUCAUAAGUAAAAUACUUAAUCCUUAUUAGUGAAUAAGGUAAAUUGACUUUUUUACUCCUCUUAUAUUAUUUGUGAUGAUAGAAAAGAAAAUUAUUAGUGAAUAAGGUAAAUUGACUUUUUUACUCCUCUUAUAUUAUAUGUGAUGAUAAAAAAGAAAAAGAUGAUCGUUGAAAAUUUUCGAAAGGACAUUUCUGUAUGAUUCUUACAGUUGGUGCUGUUGAAGGAACAAUAUUUGUAAUGACAAAAAUAUUAUUUUACUUAUUUUUUGUUAACAAUGCUCUAACAGUAACAAAUUAACCAAAGAGAUAAAUAUGAAUAUCACUGAACUUUUGUAAGGAUAAAUAUAAAAAAGUUAAACUUUAUAAGGAUAUAUUUGCUACUCGAUAUAUUUACAAGGUGCUAUAUGAAAUUAACCACAUUUUUUUAUUAUUUUUCUGAAAGAAAACUGUAGAAUGCCCUUUUACAUUCAAUGAUCGACCACAGAGACUUUUAUCUCCCUACGUAUUUUAUCUCCCUACGUAAUGUCUUUUUAGAUAUAAAAUAUUAAAAGAGAAAUUCUUGAUAAUCUUUUUUCUUUUCUUUUCUUUUCUUUUUUUCUUUUAAGGGAAACUUUCCUGUAAGGUUUAAUUGAAGAUGUUGAGCUUGUUCGAAUUCGUUACUAUUCUGUUCAACAUCUAUAUUCUUUUAAAUUUGUACCUCAAAUGAGAUAGAAACACGUUUCUACAACUUUAGUCAGAAGAUAAAUUAACUAAAAUAUAUAAUAUUAUAUAGAUCGACAAAAUUGUUUACAUCAUGCUUGACAUAAAUUGUCACCAUGGAUUGCAUGUAUGCAUGCGUAUGAUUGAAACCCUUCAUUUUGUUGGGAUUCUUACUCAUGAUUUGAUUAUUGAUGUCGGUAUGCUUGAUACCAACCGUUUUUGUCAAUUCCUAUCAAUUCGUUUUAUUUUGUUUUUAAAAGCAGCGUUUGGCUCGGAAACAACUGGACGAAUAAGCUCUUAUUUUUUUUCUUAAUAUAUUCUCAAACAUAAAUUUUCAUGUCCGCAAACAAUAGUUCUCAGAUUCAUAAAAUAAGCUGCUGUAAUUCAGUAUAAGUCUGGGACUACGGUUCUACCUUUUUCUUUACUGAAACAAACUUGUUUCCAAAUAGUAACAAGAUUAAUUAAAAUCUAAAUUUAAUUUUAAUUAUGAUAUUAAAUUAUUAAUUAAUCUAAUUAAUAUAUUAAAUUAUUAUUCAUUGCUUAAAUAAUAAAGUAAUUAAUUAAUUUAUUACUUAUAAUUAAUUAGCUAAUUAAUUAUUAAUAAUUUAAUGUGUUUAUCCAUAAACUAAUAUUUAUAUUGAUCAACCAUUAAUAUUUUUAUUAAUCUAAUCAAUUUUUCACUAGUUAUCUAACUAAAAUAAUUUACUAACUAAUUAAAAAGCUAAAUUAUUUUUUAUAUUUAAUUAAUUAAUUAAUUAAUAAUAUCUUCAUUGUCUCAUAUAAUAUUCAUAGCUAACAAAUAUAUUAAUUUAUUAAAUUAUUUUUAAUUAAUAUUUUGAUGUUAAAAUUAAAUAAAAUAUUUUAAAUUUAAGAUUAUAACUUUUAGUACUCUUGUUCCAAUCUAAUCAUUCAAACACUAUUUAUCUUAUUUCUAAAAAUAACCUAAUUUUUCUCUAAACAUAAAACUGGUCUAGUUCCUAUUUACACCUUAACUUGUACAUGUUUUUGGAAUAAGCAGUUAUACUUAUACCUGAACUAAAUGAAGCUAAAAAGUUUAAGUAAUUAACCUUCUAGUACCUUUUUUAGGUGGUGGCUUUAGUCACUUGGAUUUGUUUAAUCAAACAUGUAGUGCAGCUGAUGUAUAUAUGCAAUUAACAAAUUCAGAUACUAAUUUAUCACUCUCUGUGGAAGCUCUCAUUUUACAAAGGAAACAUUUGCAAUAAGAAGAAAGUAAGGUAAACAAACAAAAAAAAAAUCAACUUCUACUUAACACUCUAAACAAAUGGAGAAAAACAAAUGGAGAGAUUAAAAGAGAGCAAAAGUCAUACAGAUAGAAACAGCCGAGUUGAGCUCAGGUGCAAGGAGCACUAACAAAUUCUUGCGAAGUUCUCAUUUUUUUAGUAUUUACGUCUGUGUCAUGGCUAGCCAAAAAUGAUAAUUCAAUUAAUUACACAUCCAAUUUAGGAUUUGUUGUUCUAACUUAUAUUUCUGUUUUUAGCGGCAGUAGAUUUUAAUAAAAUAUUUAGCUAAUAAAAAGAAAAUCUAAAUGUUUCACUGCAACAGAAAGGUAAAAAAAGUAAUUUGAGUUUUGAAAAGAAAAAUUCUGAUUCACUGCUUCUGAUUUUGCUCUAAAAAAAAUAAUAUAUACCUUUCAUAAGAGUAUUACUCAAACAACACUUCAACAAAUAGCAAUGCGCUUCAUGACAGAGCUAAACAAACUCAGAGAGUACGAUCGAUACUGUCGAUGCACGGCGGUAGACUAUGCUUUCACAGUGUAAUUUGUUAGUGCGUCUUUCAUCUGCGCCGAGCUCCGGAUUGAUCAGAUAUAUAUGGACUUAGUUGUAUCAAGGAGUUGCAACCUCUGAAGUGCUCCUGAGAAGCUCCUCCAGAUACUCUGCUCCCAAAUCCUCCAACUCCACCACCCCACUCACCUCCCUCCCUCUCCUCCCCUUCCUCCCCGCCACCGCCACUGCCGCCGCCGCCGCCGCCGUUGAAUUCCUCCUCCGCCGCAUCGAGUGCCGCCGCUUCAGCGCCAUGACCGGCGACACCCCCUCCUCCUCGGCGCCCGCCACCAGCCGGCGGUACUCCGCGCCGCGCAGCGACUCCCGGACCGCCUCCGCGGGGAAAUUCAGCACCGCGGCGGGCCCCCGCAUCGCGAACGCCGCCUGGUCGUAGGCCAUCGCCGCCUCCUCCGCGCUGUCGAAGGUCCCCAGCCACACCCGCACCCCGUGCCGCGUCGAGUCCCGGAUCUCCGCCGCGAACUUCCCCCACGGCCGCCGCCGCACGCCCCGGUAGCUCCGCGACCCCACUCCCUCCUCCUUGGGCCGGAUCCGAUGCGCCGAAUUGUCGGCCGAGGCCGCGGUGAGCACGUCGAGGAGGAGCAUCUCCUCGGAGUCGUUCUCGUCGAAGGGGAGCACCUCGACGGAGCCGGUGGAGGAUUCCGGCGAGAAUUGGUACAUUUUGGGGUGCAUAAUUUGGUACUCAAUGGAAUGCAUGGGAAAUGAGAUGAUCUCUCACUUUUACUCUCCUUCAGUGUGAGCGCUCCAAUAUAUGUAUAAUAUAUAUAUAUAGGCUUUUGAAGUUGGUUUGGUUGGCGCCUCUGUUUCCAGGAUGUAAAUAUGCGCGAAGACCCCUGAACUAUACGAUAUUUCUAAACAACCCUCUCUGCUUUAACCCCUUGUGGAAAAAAUUUUAAUAGAAUAUAUUUGUACUAUAGACCAUUUUGAAACCGACUGUAACUUUAAAAUUUAAAUACAUCACUUAUUUUUACAUAUUUAAUUAACAUACUUCAUAUAAUUUUCGUAACUAUAAAUUGAUUAAAGUAAGUCAAAGCACUAUUGUUAAUCGAUUCAAAUUAAAUUAAAAGAUUGGAUAAAUUGAGUACCAUUUUAAAAUGGACUGUAAUUUAGAUAAGUUCUAUAUAUUUUUAUGUAACUUUUUUUUUACUUAACACCUCCUUAAGUUGCAAAUUUUUUAAUUGAAUUAGCGUAGUCCGAUAAAUUAAUAAUUUUAUUAAAUCUAUCAAUAAUCUUAUUAAAAUUUAGUAUUUUUAAGUCUUUUUAAUAAAUAAAAUUAAACUUAUUGGCAUCUAAUAUCCAAUAAAACCACUAAACAUAAUAGAUAAAUAAAAGAUUUGAAUAAUUUUGGGGCAUUUAACAGGACCGCUAAAUUUAACAAAAUAUUUAACUAAAAUAACCAUAAUUCAAUGACGAAAAAGUGCAAGUUAAACGGUUCUGAUCACAGAUAAAAAAAAUUAAUAGAUCCAAGUUGAUGGAGAUCUCACUUGAUCCGCACCGAAUGAAACAUUACAUAGAAGACAAGAAAAAAAAAAGUAAAAAAAAAAAUCUCAUCCCAAAUUCGUCCUAAUAUGCUAAGAAAUAGGGCGGAACAGAGAGAUAAGCACCGGUAAAAUAUAAGAUAAAAUCCAACUCUUCCCAAGAUCUGCCUAGUUUACAUCUCUAACUGUAGAGUUUAAAAGUUGAGGGUCCGAUUUCAAAAUAUCUUAAUAGUUGGGGUUCUCUAUACAAUUUUUACCAUUAUAAGGAGAAGCGCUCAUAUUUUUUGGGUAGGUAAAAUGAGAGAUUUAUUGGGCGAGGUGGGGCCCAUGGCCCACGUGGCCGUGGGCCCCACCAGGAUUCUGUACAUUAGUAGCACGUGGGUCAAUCGUGCACGGCGGCCAAGUCAAAUAAGCUUCUGACCAAAGCAACGUGAGUGGCGAUGACGCAAGUGCAGAUUCCCUGCAAACAGCGAAGUAGAAAUUUUAGUCCGACGCACACUCCCAAUAGCUCGAUGCCACGUGCUUACGUGUAUGUAGGAAGACCCAUGAAUGUCAACAAAAAAAAAUUAAGCAUACAGAAAUAAAACCCUUUUCUUUUUUUUUUCUUUUUAUUGUUUCUUGUGCGCCACGAACAAUGUCGUGUGUACUACACUAAGGUGCCGUUUGGUUAGAUAUAAUUAUAAAUACAGUAUAAUUGAAGAUGCAUAUAAUUGAAAAUGCAGCAGUUAUAACUAAUGCAUCAUGUUUGGUUGGAUGUAGUAGAAAGUAUUGCAACUAUAAAUAAUUUGUUUGGUUGCAUGCAGUUGAGAAAUAAUUUUAAAAUUUUUAUCAUUUUAUAUCUAUGAUAGUGAAAUUACCUCCCAUAUAAAAAAAAAUUAUUUUUGUUUAAAAAAUAUUUAAAGAGGUAAGGUUACUUUUUGUUUAAAGUUACUCUCCAACUGCUGCAGUUGAAACUGCGGCCAAUUUGGGCGUAGUUCCAAAUACUGCAGUUGGACCUCCUCCUGCAGUUCUCACUGUAGCAGUUGAAGUUAAAUAUAUCAAACCAAACACCAAAUUCGCAUUUGCAUGCAGUUACAACUGUCGUGCAGUUGCAACUACAUGCAACCAAAUAGCCCUUAAUAACCACCACUAGAAUGUUUUUCUAAAUUUUUUUAAAUAUUAAUUUAAUAUAAUUUAAUAUAUAUAUAUAGUCCGACUACUAUGCUAUCGGUAGCACAGAGCGCUCCGUGCUACCAAGUUGUUUUCGAUGAUGCGGCUUCCAAAUCGACGAUCGGCUCCAUUAGACUUGAUCUAUACUAUUGAAAGUAUUUGGAAACUAAAUUUCAGAUUUUUCGACAUCAUUUGACUAGUGAUCAAAAGAUCUCAAAAUUGACAAUUUUAAUGGCCGAUGUGGUGUGUUUGGGAGUUUAACGGUGUAAAACAAUCCAAAUGCAAUAAAAUUUUAUAGAAAAUUCUUUUCACUAUUUAGAGUAAGAUCAAUAUAUCUGAUCUUGAAUUUAAAUCUUUUAUCAUCAUUUUUCAUGAGAUUUUUAUUUUCAGCCGUUCAAUUUUAGACUACUUGUUUGAUAGGUAAAUGAUAUCGAAAAAUUAUGAAAUUUAGUUUCUAAAUACUUUCAAUAGUGUAGAUCAAGUCUAACGGAGCCGAUCGUCGUUUUGGAAGCCGCAUCAUUGAAGAACAAGCUUGAUAAGGCACGGGAGCGCUUCGUGACAUACCGAUAGUAUAGUAGCCUAGUUUCUAUAUAUAUAUAUAUAUAUAUAUAUAUAUAUAGUUCCGCUGGAAUACUAUUGAUAGACCAAAUACUUGAUACUACCAAGUUUUCCAGUCGUUAGAUUACUUUUUGACUAUUUUCAAACGUUAGAUUAUAUUAUUCAACCAACACCUUACUCAACCCUAGAGGGCCCACAUCAUCUAAACCAUAUAUUUCUUUGCAUCCAAUGACGAAACCUAAUAGAAAUAAUGACGUUGAUGCUAUUGAUAACAUUCGGCAGCCUAGUUCUAUAUAUAUAUAGUAUAUAUAUAUAUAUAUAUAGAACUAGGCUGGAAUGUUAUCAAUAGCACCAAACUAUUGGUGCUAUUGACUUUUUAGCCCUUGGAUUGAGAAAUGGGUGGUUAGAAUGAUCUGGGCCCUCUAGAGUUGAGUGAGUGGUUGGUUGAAUAGUAUAAUCUAACGGGUAAAAAUAAUCAAAGGGUUAAAUCUAACGGUGAAAAACUCGAUAGCACCAAAUUCUUGGUGCUAUCGAUAGUACCCGAGCCGGACUCUGUAUAUNCUCUCUCUCUCUCUAUAUAUAUAUAUAUAUAUAUAUAUAUAAUUGAGCUAGAAUACUUUUAGAAGCACCAACCCCUUGGUGCUUCUAAGUUUCUAGCCCUUGGAUCUACUCCUUAAUUAUUAAUACCUCUUGGAUCAAACACUAUUACACCUAUCACCACCUACUACCAUCGUCUCAACCCCACAUUUUUCUAUCCAAUGGUUAAAAACUCAAAAGCACCACCCCCUUGGUGCUUUUGAGAGUAUUCCAGCUCAAUUCUAUAUAUAUAUGAGUGCGUCUGGUAUGCUUCUGGAAGCACGGAGCGCUCCAUGCUUUUAAGUUGUUUUCGAUGUUUAGAUUUUCGAAUCGACGAUCGGCUCCGUUAGAGUUGAUCUAGAGUAUUUGAAGUAUCUAGAAAAUAAAUUUUGCCAUUUUUCGAUAUCAUUUGCCCAGUGAUCGAAGUGGCUCAAAAUCAACGGCUGAAAAUAAAAAUCUUACAAAAUAUGAUGAUAUGACAUUAAAAUUUUAGAUCAAAGUUAUUGAUCUUGUUUUAUAUGGUAUAAAAAAUUUUCUAUCAAAAUUUCAUAUGAUUUGAAUAUUUCUACACCGUUAAACUUGCAAACGGCUCACCACAGCCAUUAAAAUUAUUGAUUUUGAGCCCCUUCGAUCACUAGGCAAAUGAUAUCGAAGAAUCACAAAAUUUAUUUUCUAACUACUUCAAAUACUCUAGAUCAACUCUAACGGAGCCGAUCGCCGAUUCGAAAGUCCGAACAAUCAAAACAACUUGGAAGCACGGAGCUCCGUGCUUCCAGAAGCUUACCAGCCCACUCAUAUAAUAGAGUAUAAUUGUUAUAUACUCUAUUAUAUGAGUCUCUCACCUUGUUGAGAAUCGCAAGCACAGAUGUUGUAUAAAAACUGACAAAAUUUGAUAUCGAAUGGGGAAACGGUUGAAAAUGUAUAUUCUGUAAGCCGUAACCCGAUCGACUUCGGUGAAGUCGAGAUUAUGCAUACAGCCGGAUCUGGCAACCUCCGGCCCUUUUUGACCCCAGCAAACCAAGCACGCCCCAGGUGUUUGGCUGGAGAUAAGAAGGUCAAAAAUCGUUUUUGACCUUAAAAGAAGUUUUCCAAUUGUAUUUGAUUUGUUGAAAAAAAAAAAUUCAGAGAAAAAUACUUUAUAUAUUUAAAAGCAAAAAGUGAAAAGAAAAUUCAAAUAUGUUUGAACAUAUGUUUUCUAAUUACAUGUAAAAUCAAAUAACAGUGCAUAUUAUGUUUUUCAUUAAAAAAAAACACUUUUUUAUAAAGUUUUAAAAGUUGUACAUGCAAGCAAAUAACGGCUAACUUCCUGUUUGGUCUUUUUGCUCUUGCUUUCAUAAUACCAUACCACAUCCAAUAGAUUGUUUGAAGGAAUAAAAAAAGAAAAAAAGAAAAAAAAAGCAGAAGAAAUGCUACUCAAAUAGCAUCAUAGAAUUGAAAGAUAACACCUUUGAAUUGGUUCUGAUGUCAUAUUAACCGGGACUAAUUCGAUAAAAACCCAAAUUUGCUCGCCGAAAACGACGAGCAUAGAAUGACAGGAGAAAGUGAAUAACAUAUUUAUACUGAAGUUUAAACAUCCCCUCACAUAUAAGAUGGAGAGGCGAGAUUUGAACUCAGUAUUAUCUCUUGAUUUGGCAUUAUAUAAAAUAAUAUUAUAAAAUAAUUGCUUAUUUUAAAAAACUUAAAUUAUUAAAGAAAAUUAUUUUUAAUAUUUAUAUUCAGUAUUUCUAAACUAAUGAAUUGGAAACCGGAAGAUUCCUGGAGCGCCACGUGGCUGGCAGGCCCGAGGGGGCGGUGGGCGCGUGCGCGUGCGCGGCACGAGCGGGGGCUGGCGCGCGGGCAUGCAGGCACGGGGCGAGCCGGUGCGGGCAGGGCACGAGCCGGCGUGGGCGCGAGCCGAAAAAAAAAGAAAUGCUACAAUGCAAAUAACGGGGCUUACUUCCCCUUUUUGCAUGCGGUCCACGAGAUGAGCAUCAUCCGGUGGACCGGCUGAGGGAGAGAGAGCAAUGGACCUCUCUCUCCCUCUUUGAGAUUUUAUAUAUAUAUAUAUAAAAUUUUAAUAUUAUAUUUAUAAAUAUAUAAUAAUUUAUUUUUAGAAUAUAUAUAUAUAUUAAAUAUAUUUUUAAAAAAACUUAAUUGUAGUGUUUUUUAUAAAAAUAGAUUAUUUAUAUCUAAAUAAUUAUAAAAUUAAAAUUUAUAUUUAAUACAUACAAUCUAAAAUAUUUAAAAUUUAGGCAUAAAUAAUUAUAUAUUUUAAAGUUUUAUUAUAUUAUAAUUAUAAUUAAAAUAUAAACUUAUAAAUUUACAAUCUGAAUCUGAGCGGGUAUUAAGAUCAGUAUUAUUGUUUGUAAUCAAAACUUGCAUAUCUGAUACAAUUGAUCGCAUGUGAAAAUGUAUCUAAAACUUUCUUAUUUAAUUAAUUAAAAUAUAUUAUUAUUUAUUUUAUAAAAAAUAUAUUUAAUUAUUUAUUAAUUAUUUAUAAAGAAGAUAAAUGAACCCGUUGCGUAGCACGGGUUCCUUAACUAGUGUAUAUUAUAUUCCACCUGAUUUUGAUGAGAUGGCAUUUCUAUGUUUCGUGAUGUGAUUCAUACGUAUGUUUCAUUAAUUAGUUGAUUGUUGAUAACAUUUCUAGUUAUAUGAUGGUCACAAUUAUAUAUGUAAUGCAAUUAAAGGGGAACCGCAUUACCUCAAGAAACAAAUUAAUGUCUACUUAAUAUAACAAUACCGUUUCCAAAGAUUAGUUAUCAUGAAAAUAAUACAAUGAAAAUUUUAGCAAUAAGUUAACUGAAUAUCGAAGUUGAAUUCAAGUGCCUCAAUCGCAAAGUUUUUUUUCCUUUAUAUUUUUUGUGGCAAAGAAAUCAAGUACACUUGAACAAUUUUGCUUAUCUGGUUAUGCCACGCUAUAAUGAUAAGUUGAAUCAAUGUGUUGUUUAAGUAGAGUUUCUGAAAGAGGCAUUUGCAGUAUUUUUUAUUACGACUAAAUUUUCUAGGCGCCGCAGAAACACAAGUUUCAUUUUAAAGCUUUUGUUUUUCGGUCUAAAAGCAGCUUUUCAUUAUAGUAUAAGCUUUAGACUUUUCAUUUAUAAAGAGAUUAAUUUGUUAAUACAUGACUGUAAUCAUCACUUUAGUGCACAUAUAAUUAGCAAGUUAAUCCACAUACAAAUAGACUUGAUAGUUCCAAAAGAAUGAAAGUGGAAAUUGUGGAGCCACAAAAUAUGGUUCGUGUUGUUGACCUUCUUUAGUGUCCCGUUAACAUCAUAGAGAAUAUAUAUAUUCAAGGUUUUCGUUUGGAAAUUCCUGGUGUGUUUGAGUGUGACACCAAAAAAGCUCAACUUCAAAUGCAUGAGAACAAUGUGAAAUGAAUACAUUUUCUAAUUUAAGUCUAUGGUGCCAAUCUAAUAGUGGAAUGUUAAUAUGGUAAUAAUUCACAUUUAUGAUCGAAACUCUAUAAUUGUGAAUCCCUACAAGAGAGAAGUACUCAAAAUAUCGUUCCCAUGGAAAGUAAUUCUCAACUCACAAAAAUAUGUGUAUUAUGAAAUUUAUCUAAACUAUGUCCCACAAAUUGUUAGAGAACUUGCAAAUCAUGCGCGCGGUAUGUACAAAUUUUAUGAUAGAAGAGUCAUAAAAAUGGCUCAGAUAAAGUUCUUUUGCGAAAGUUUAUGAAAAAUUUUAACAUUGAUAAGUGGAAGGUCACUAUAAUUGGCCAAAGUGUUAAAAUUUGAGUCACCUAUGAUACAAAUUUUCAUCAAGAGGACUAGGAAAUUAAAUAAAUGGUUGAUAUAUAACAAAUAUUGACAAAUUUAGCUGUAAUAAUUAAGCUUGACCAUCCUUAAGGGCGUGUUUGGUUCGCGCGCACUAUGAAAGAUUACUAGCAAUAAAAAGAUAUCCGAGAAUAUUAUUCAUAUUCAUUCUAUUACUAAGAAUGUAGCAUUCCUGUGUUUGGUUUGCACGGUCAUAUUAUUUAGUCAUGUUAUUUAAGUUUACAAAAAAUAUACAAUUUAUUUAUUUAUUUAUUUAUUUAAUUUUAGAUAAUGCUACAAAAAAUUUCAACAUUUUUUAGAAAAAAGGGGAAGAGAACAUAGGUUAGAGAGAGAGAGCAUAAUUAAAGAAAUAGAAAGAAAAAUGCAGUCGAUAUUAGAGGGAGCGAGAGAGUUGAGAUUUUAGAAACAGAGGAGAAGAGAGAGCUUAGUUUAAAGAGAGAAAAAAAGUUGAAGUUUAGAGAGAAAAAAAUAAGUAUAGAGAGAGAUAUGAGGUUAGAGUGUAAAAAAAAAUAUAGCUGACGAGUAUGGAGAAAAAAAGAGAUUAGACAUAUUAUGAUUAUCCUAAUCCAUUAAUAGGAGGCUACACACCCUCCAUCAAGGGAAUAAGAUUAGUGCUUUGGGAUGAAUCUCAUUCCUGAGUAAAUCUAAUAUUACCAACUAGAUUACUUAGUGCGUUUAGCCAAACACCGUCAUAUUUUUUAAUUCUUAUUGGAUUACUAGGAAUCUUAAAAAAUAGCGCGAACCAAACGCACCCUAAGUGUGUUGCGGAAAAACCAUAUGAUUAUUUCAUUGCAGUUAACAAUUAUAACCAUGAAUUAAGCAACACAUGAUAAUCUUGGUAUCAUAUUAUAUUUUUUAUUGAAAAUAGUAGAUAUAUAAAAGCCUUUUUUUAAUUCCUUUUGUGACGCCCUAUAUCCCACGGUGGUCAUCCAUCUUAGAACAACUCUUAGUUCUAGUUAACAGGCUUAACCAUCUUAAACUCUUAGAUCUAACCUUCAGUUAACAUGCUAUAACUGGGUUAAGAGAUCCAAGUUCUAGGAGUGUCACUUUUCUCUUCCCUUUAAGUCCUGACAUCUUUUUCAGAUUCAAUCACACUCACAAGCACACCAAACGAUACGAGAAUCAUCCAGAAAGCCACACUCUGCCUGUUGUAUGACGAUGAGAUUAUUUGGUUCGGGUAUAAGAAAGAGCUGUCUAUUCUAGAGAUAAGUAUAAGUUUAGGUAUUAGUAAGAACUAGAUUAAUUUCGUGUUUGAAUGAAAAUUGGUUAUUCUCAGGAGUAAAAAAAAUAGCGUUUUGAUAGAUAAAAUAAAAUAAGAAGGAUAGUGGGUAGUUACAAAUAAAAAAUAAUAAUAUCACCCCUCUCAUUAUAUUUGAAUUUAAAUUUUUAAACUUUAUAUUUAUAUUUUUAAAUUUAAAAUUUUAACUUUUAAAUUUUAAAUUUUGAAACUAACAUUUCAAAUUUAAAUCUCAAAUUUUAAAUUCAAAUUUUUAAAUUUUAAAUUUCAAACUUUAAAUUUAAGAUCAAAUUUAAAUUUGAAAAAUAUAAAAUAUCAAAUUUUCAAUUUUAAAAAUUUAAAAUAUCACAAUUGAAAUUUAGAAUUUAAAAUUAUAAACUUUAAUUUUGAGAUUACAAAUUAUAAAUUUUUAAAAUUUUAAUUUUUAAAUUUUAGAAUUUUAAAGUAAGAAUAUGGGUGGGAACAAUUAAUAAAAAUAAUUUAUUAUAAUAAAUUUAUAAAUUAUUUUAAAAUUCUACUUAAACUUAAAUUUAAUAAAAAUAAUUUAUUAUAAUAUUUAAAUAUAAAUAAUAUAUAUUAGUAUAGUAUAAUAUUUUAUAAUAAAAAUAAAUAUAUUAUAAUAUAUAAUAUAUUAUAUUUAUAUAAUUUAGUUUUGAUUCAAUUUAUAAUUUUAAUAUAGUUUGAAAUUAUAUAUUGGAAUAACACUAUUCCACCAAAAUGAUGGAAUAGUAAAUCCCAAGCUAUUUCCGGAUAGCCGGGAAUAGUAAGAUUUGACCGGAAUAAAAUUGUGAUGUACUAAACCUUAGCAAAUUAGCAAGGUUACAAUAUAAGUUUAUGCUUGAUUGAGUUGGAGACGUUUUUUACAAAAUAAAUGUAAAAACGGACUUUAAAACUCAAGAUUUAUAUUGUAGAGGACUAAAGUUAAAUACCUAGUUAUAUAGGGGCAUGUGGGCAAUUUUGUUUAAUUAGGCGGUGGAGUCCACGUUGUUUAAUUAGGCGGUGGAGUCCUUAUCCUCUCAUUUUGUUGUUUUUUUUAUUGCCACGGGUGAGCUAAUUAAUUAGCAGGGACAACUUGGCUUCAUUCUUACGAGUGAGGCGAGCGAGUGAGCGAGUCGAGUUCGUGCGUCGUGUUAGCGCCGUUGGAGGCCGGGCGAGCACGGAAUUUUCUUCUCCUAUCGACUUCUCGCUGUCGUGGAUUAGUUUUUAAGGUGGGUUAAUGUUAUGCUUACCGAAUUACACAGAAUUCCUCCUAAGUCUAGUCGCUGUCGACAUGUAUUCGCCGUUUUUAUAUACCAUGUUUUAGUUACUCGAUUCAUUAAUUUACUGUGUUUCUAAAUCUGAAUUGGAGCUUAGAAUAUUAGUUAAAUUAUACAUGUUGGACUUGGAAUUGACUUAGGAGAAAACUAGCGAUUCUGCACCGUCAUAUGUCAAAACUACCAGAUUUAGCUCUAAGAGCCGUAGUUUGUUUGUAUCACCGCAGGUUGUGGACGGUGGAUACUUAUACUAGUGUAGAAUACAUUUAUACUCGUGCUGGGAUGCCGAGCUGGAGUAAUCUUCAACUGUAGGUUCUGCACUGUUAUUUCUAAAGACUAUCAGAAAACUCCUUAAACUGUUGUGCUUUGUAUCCACGCUGUUAGUGUGCAUUUGAUACUGAGAUAACUUCUGAAGCUGUUGCGUUUUGUAUCCACGCUCUUAGUGUGCAUUUGAUACUCGGAUAGCUCCUGAAGCUGUUGCGGUUCGUAUCCACGCUGUUAGUGCGCAUUUGAUACGCGGAUAGCUUAGGAGGUGUAGUUUGUUUAUAUCGCCGUAGUCUGUUGGCGGUGGACACCCAGGAUAAUGUAGAAUGUAUUUACGCUCGUGCUGGAAUGCCGAACUUAAUUUUUACAGCAGUGUUUAGGCUGUUCCGGACAGUCGGGUGUUGUUGAGGUUGACGGUGGACCCAAAUUGCUGUUUUUGCAUCAGAUUGUGCCGAGGGCACGUGAGUUUGAUUGUUAGACGCUGUUUACUUGACUAUAGCCUGUGAGAGCCUGAUUGAGUUCGAUAGAGAUACGCUUGCAUACUCAAUUGGGUAGCGCCCACGAGUGCCACUCGGGAGUCGGGCUUUGUGCGUUUGCGUUGGUGUCAUUGCGUCCUGGUUGGACUUGCUCUCAACGAAUGUCCUAGUGUGAAGGUAGCUGUGUAGCUUUGACAGACGGGACGGGUGAGUUCACAGUUCCUAGCGAGAUUGGGUCAGGAUUUGCAUUUUCUACAGAUAGUUAGUGUUGGAUAGUGAUAAUAUAGUGGCAUAUAGCUGUAGAUUUGUUCCAGCUUCCUUUUCUAUCAUUGCGCAUACAUCUGUAGACUUAGUGGGUGGGCCGUUGAGCUCGGUAGCAGUAUCCACUGAGGACUACUUCUUUUUGCAGUAGUUCUCACGCCCAGUUGUGGAUCUUUUGCAGAGCCUUCUUCUUCGGCUGCUGCUGUCGCGGAGACAGAUCGUGGAAAGGGAGUCACGAGUUAGAUCCCUUCCCAGUUGCUGCUGAUCUAGAGUAUACCAGCUACAGGUAGUUGUAGUUUUUGGGUUAUUAUACAUACUGAUGUUAUAUCUCGCUGGAGCGAGCGUUUUGGAUACCUGGAUGCUUUGUAUGUAUAGUGAACCUCUGUUGUUAUUUAUACUUUUCUCUUUAGCAGCUCUAUACUACUGGUUGUAGUGUUGUAUGAUUACAGGUACAGUUACAGCUAUCCUUCGUAUACAGGGAAAAUUUCUUUGUAUACGUCGGAUUUGUCGGCAUGCCCGAAGAAACGAGUAAUCCGGGACGUGACAAAAAUAUUCUGGCCAAAAAUCAUUCUGUUUGGCGGAAUAGCAAGAACCCCAAACCAAACGAGAAGGGUUAUCCCUACCCCUUGUGGGAAACCGCACUCCAUUUACAAUAUUUGUCUAGGGAGUCGCGCGUGCUCUGCUAGCUGUGUGAUUCUGACUUAGUCGAGCUUCAUCAUACACUUUCAGCUGAUAAUUAGUUCUGAUAUCAAAACUUAAUCGAGACUCAUCAUACACUUUCGGCUGAUAAUUAAUUCUGAUAUCAACUGUGACGCCCCACUUUUCAAUAAAUCAUUCAUCCUAAAACCACUCUACUCCACUACAUUUAACCCUUUUAAUCUCUUGAGUCUAUCCAUCGUCUAACACGUUAUCGUCUCGUUAAGAGCCUAUUAUAUCUCAUAUAUAAAACUAUUCUAAAUUCUAAUGUGUCGCAUCUUUAAUUCUAAGAGAAGUCGUGAAUUAGAUUAUCCGUGCUUCAUAUUAUUAUCUCCAUUUUGUUUUUGUUUUUUUUAGAAAGAGAUUAUCUCCAUUUUGUCACCUCUUUUGUCACCUCUUUUGUCUUUCAUGUCAUUGUUAAAUGAAAAUUCAAUAGACAUUCCAUCUCAUUCAGAUUCAAUAUCAAUCGCCAAUUCUAAUAAUUACUCACCACUAGCGCUAGUCUUGUUUUCUGAAGGCAGGACUGACUAUCUGUCUUCGGACAAAAAUUUUAUGAACAUAGUCCCCAAAUUAAUUAGUUUGGGAAUUAUACGGAUCGGCUCCACAUGGCUAAUCCAACGGGUGCCUUUCUCAGUUGUUUUUUCUCUCUCUCUCUAAAAAUAUAGGGUUUUUUUUUCUUUCCAUCCGUGGCCGUCGGAUGGGCCACAUAACGCCCAUCCGUAUAGUCCCCAAACUAAUUAGUUUGGGGACUAUGCCCAUAAAAUUUUUGUCCAUCUGUCUCCUGUAUUGCUCACCACACAAUUAUUUUCUCGCUUCCAGCACUACAACAGCCAAAAAGAAAAUAACACUAAUUUGUUUUGCCAUUCAAAAAUUAAAAAAAUUUUAAUAGGUUUGGUACAAGCAGAUGAUUCAAAAUUCUUUUAUAUUUUAGCAACUAUAUAUUUAAAAAUACAUUUUUCUAUCAGAUUUUUUAAGAGGUAUCUUUGCUCUCCACUUUUGAUCACUACAAGAAAAUUUUAAUAUAAGAACGUUUUUUAGACGGCGCUUGAAAAACGCAUCUCCAAACGUCCCUUCAGAAUAACAAAUAUCAACGCUUCAGAAAGUGUCAUCGUAUGAACCAUUUAUUAUAUCAAACUAAUUUAUUAAAUAAUAAAGUUUACUAUUAUUUUUAAUUUUUCGAUGCUUUAAAGCAGCAAAAUUUUAAAAAAUUUAUAUAGCGACUCUUCAUUUAUAAAAAUUUAAAGCAUUAAUAUAUUUUAUCAACGUUUGGUAUAAACAUCGUUAUAUAUAUAGCGACUCUUCAUUUACCGAUACUUUGACCGAUGCUUUCAAAUUUAACGCUAACUUAUAUUGAAACGCUUUUAAGUAUCGUUAAAUAUUAAAAAAAGCGUCCUUAAAUAUAUUUUUUUUUUUUUAGUGGAUUGUAAUAAAAAUUUUACUCUAUCUUCGCCAAGGUUGCCAGCCAAUUGUCUAAUCAUGUAAAUCACUUGUGUCCUUCUUUAGUUUAUUCUCUCUUUCUCAAUUAUCCUUUAGUAGAUUUGAGGUAUAAGCAGAUUAUUCAUAAUUCUAUUAUGUUUUAGCAAUUACAUAUUUAAAAAUACACUUUUCUAUAAGAUUUUAUAGAGGUAUCUUUGCUACUUUUGAUUGUAACGAAAUUUUUUUCUCUUUUCGCUCACGAAUGUCAGUCAAUUGUCAAACCACGUAAAUUAUGUAUCUCCUCCUUUACCCAUCAAACUAAAGUUUCUGCGACUUUUGUUGCAUCAUGAACUUGAAGAGACGGUGGGCGAGUUCUUAGGUACAUAUGUUUGCGGUCAUUUCCUAUUAGCACAAACUUUUGCCUAACAAAGGGGACCUUAAACAAGAUAAAGAUAAGAUAAUACAAUUAAGAUAACCCAAAAAGAAUAAAUAACAAAACCAAUAGAGAUUCUCACAAGUAAUAUUGAUGAUGGUGGUCCCAUUGAUUUGGAUCACAAUGGUGAUGGAUUCUAUGAAUUGCAGUUAAUGGUUUUAGAGGGGUUAAUUAGGCAUGUACCAACCAUUCCUUUGAUGUGUAGUAGAUGCAGAGAACUAGGACAAACCUUUACAUAAAUACAAGGGCCCCACAAAGUUUUUAUUUCUAUGGCUUCAGAGGUUUGAAGGUUGGUGUUGUGCUUCUUUCUAAGGAAGAAGCAUUGGAAGCUUCCCUUAAUUUCACUACGAAUUAUUCUUCAAACAUGCACACAAUAAUAACACAUUUAAAUUGAAGGGAUUGGGUCAUGCUAUAUGUUUAUGAGAUUUGGUUUGGGUUUUUGGGGUGAUCUAGUUAAACAUUUUAAUCCCUAACUUUUCCGCUCGGUAUUGUAAUAACAUCAGUGUCUAGGGGUGACAAUCCAGCUCGGUGUUCGCAAGUCAGUUCGUGUUCGACUCAAAAUGAGCUGAAGAUCGAAUUGCUCGUUUAGUAAACGAGCCGAACACGAGCUGAAUUUUUCAGCUCGUUGGAUAAACGAGCCGAACACGAGCUGGGGUCAACUCCCUCGUGUUCGACUCAAUAACAGCUCGAAUANCUCGAGCCAAUAUAUAUAAAAAAAACGAUUUUUAAUUUAUUUUUUUAUAUAUAAUAUAUAUAAAUUAUAUAUAAAAAGAUUUAUUUAUAUGUAAAGUUUUAAUCAUUAGAUCAAAAUUUAAUUAAUGGGUAAGAUUUUAUAAAUUUAGUUUUUUAUAUAUAUCCAAUUUAAUCCAUUUAACUUAUUGUUCGUUGGCUAGCUCGCGAGCCAGAAUAAACGAGUCGAACACGAGCUGAAUUUUUCAGCUCGAUUCUUUGACGAGCCAGCUCGUGUUCGGCUCGUUUACCGACCCCAGCUCGCUCGUGUUUGGCUCGUUGACACCCCUAUCAGUGUCCCUCUUUGCCAUCUAAAAUACUCGAUAUCUCGUAAAAUCAUGUGUUACAACUCACAAAAAGUAAUUAAAAUGAGCCAUGUGACUUGUGCGAAUUUUGUUAAUUAUCUUAGGCGGGCAAACGGGGCAUUGCAAUGCCACGAAAGUUCACCAAUUAAUCAUGCUUUUUUUUUUUUUUUGCUCUUAGAGAUAUACUAUGAAUAUAUAUUUCUCCAAAAAAAUUCAUGCAUAGGACAAUAUUUUAUUGUGUCCCCCCGAAGAGAUAAUUCAUAGACCUCGCAAUCAAGAAUUUAAUUAAUGGUAAAUUGCUUUGACAAGUAACUUAGCUUAGAAUAUUGUAUAAAUCAAUCUCUUGUAACACUUAAUUUGCAUGUACAAAUAGAACAUAUAUUUGUGACCCGUUCCAAGCUCGAAGGGUUAUGCAUGCAUGCCACAAAUUUAAUUGGGUGGCCAAAAAAGGUCAACAUUUUUUCCAUGGAAAAAUAUUGCAAAAAUAUAUACAUGCAUGGUUCCAAGCAUUUUCUCCAUUGUUUUACCCAUCAAUUAAUAUAUAUGGACACUUGUCCACCACGUUUAACUUCAUUGUGCACAUAAUUAAAUAUGUAUAUUCUUUUUGAAACAUUUUUUGGACUUUCUAAAGAAAAGGAGAAAAAAAGAAAAAAAUCCCUGUCAAUGUGAAGGGAGACAAGGGUUUUAAUUUCAAUGAGGUCAACAACUUGAGCAAUCAAAAGUUAUCAUCAUAAAUUGAUCACUAAUUAGUUGUUUCUCCAAAUUGUCAAAUCUCAAGAAAACUUCCAUGUAACUUCCGAAAUUCAAUAGGAGAAAUACUGGCUAGUUUUAAUUAUUUCCUUGUACCAAGCCCAUUUAUUUUAAGGGAAAGGUACAAAAAUACUGCAAGAAAAAAAAAAAAAGAAGAGAGAAUUAAUUGCUAAUGAAUUCUUUUCCAUGUGCGUCGCAAAAUUUUAGUUUCUCUGGUUUUGAUUGCAGAACGCAGACUAAUUAUAUCGCACCUAGGGGUGGAAACGAGCCGAGCUCGAGCGAGCUUAUGUCAGCUCAAAUUCGACUUGAAAUUAAUUUCGAGCCUAAAUCUAGGCUCAAGCUCGGCUUGAAAUUAAUUCGAGCCAAGCUCGAGCGAGCCUAAUUUCGAGUCGAGCUGAGCUCGAGCUCUUAAAGACGACCGAUGAAAUUCUCGACAUUAUAUAAUCAAUAGUUUAAUUUUAUAGAACAUACACUACAAUUUGAUGCAAUAUUGUCAAUAGUUCAAAACAUACAAAAUAAUUAUAAAAAAUGUGAGCUUAGGGUGACUUCCUGACUCGAUGAGUCGGUCUGAGAGUAGCAGAGAGAGAGAGAAGAAGAGAGAUAGAGGGGAACAAAAGUAAGUGAUUUGAAAAUUUGCACGUUAUCAUGUUUUAGGGUUAUGUGGCAGACAGUGAAGAUCUGAAGAGAGAGUGUGUUAUGUAAAUUCUAGAUUGGGCUCAAUGCGAACUUGUACAUGGGUUAUUUUAAUGGCCAACAAUAAUGGGCCCAAAUUAAAUUAAAGCCUAUAUAUAUUAAAUUAUAUAUAUGUAAAUAAGUUAUAUACUAAAUAAUUACUAUAUAGAGUCGCGGCUACUAUAUGCUUUAUCGAGUAUUGCCUGCCUUUAUACUCAUGGAAUCAUUUUCGAGCCCUUAAAUUAUUGCAUGCUAUCAUUUUCAUUCGUUAGAUCAACUAUUAACCACACUACCCGCGCCUAACCCUAGGGGACCACAUCAUAGUCUACGUGGGGACCACGGUCAUCACUGCUAAGCCACAACAUCCCAUCAAUCAACGGUUAAAAAUUUUAUAGUACAAAGGAUCUACUACUCCAUAAGAGUAAAGUAACGGCCCCUAUUAUAGUAUAUAUAUAUAAAUAUAUAUAUAUAAAUACUAUAUAUAUACUAGCCAUGGCUACUAACAUUAUGAGUAUGAGUCCUUUGACCAUAAGUGUUUUCAAUUGAGAGGGAGCUUCCGAAUCGAUGACAAUACGGUAAUAUGAUCUAAAGUAUUUGAAACCUUCUAGAAAUAAAUUCAUAAAUUUCGACAUCUAAUAAUCCAUCAAGCUGGCAUAAAAUGAAACGGGUUCAAAAUCGUAAGCGAACGUCCUAAAAAAAGGAUGAUCGGAUCUUCAAUCAAGAUCAGAGUAUUGAUCUUUAUCUAUAAGUGAAUAGAGAUUUUCUAUCAAAAGUUCAAUACAAACUUCGCGAUUGCUGUUAUACCGUUAAACUAAAGUAUCCCAUACGCGGACUGUUAAAAAUUGUCAAUUGUGGAUCUCUGAUGCGUAAGGUAAAUGGAUCAUCUGAAAAAUUAUGAAAAUUUAAUUUCUGAAGUUUAAAAUGCUGUAAAUAACUGUUUAACCGUGUGGAGCGUCGAUUCGGAAGCUUUAUGCAUCGAAAACAACUAUGAGUAUUCUAGGGGAUCGUCUCUCGAUAGAUAUUAUCAAGUAGGCCGGACCCAUAUAUAUAUACUGAUUAUAUAUAAAUAUAUAUAUAUAUAUAUAUAUAUAUAUAUUUUCGAGCUUUUCGAGCUUUUCGAGCCUAAUUCGAACGAGCCGAGUAAUACUCAAGCUCGGCUUGAAAUGAAUUUCGAGCCUUUUAUUUUGUUCAAGCUCGGCUCAUUUAAUUUCGAGUCGAGCUCGAGCGAGCUGAAUAUCGAGCCGAACACGAGUCGAACGCGAGCCGGCUCGCUCGUUUGCCAGCCCUAAUCGCACCUCUAUAGCCUCAAAUACAGGCACAUAAUACGUACAACAAUUUUAUAUUUUUGACACGUGGUUUAGACUAACAAAUUGUUAAUUAAUACCAACAGGCUAGUAUUGUUUCUUAAUAAAACAUAAUGCUUACUUCAUUUUAUCAAACAUUAAAUCAACAGCUAAGAAAUUGACUAAGUAAUUAAUCACAAGUCAAGUUUCAAUUAAUGUUCCAACGUUACGUUACAAAACAGAUGAUUAAUUCCAUGCACUCCUUGAUCGAGCACGUGACACGAGUAGGAAGGUGAUGCGAAGAAGUGGGAAGUAGCCCACGUGCGUCGUAUCCGCCACCUUAUAUACUUUGUUUAAUUCUUUUUUGCUUUAUAUAUUUUUGGGUUAAUUUCAUCAAGGCUCUCGAAAAUAUAUCCAGUAAUAAAUAUAUUAUUAUAAAGUUUAAUUUUUUAUUUUUAGUGCUACGAAAGUUUUACUGUUUCCAAGUAUAACUCUGCUGUUAGAAUCCAUUAGAAAAAUAUAAUUAAUUAUGAGUAAAAUACUUAACCCCUCUUAUAUUAUUUGAUCGAAUACUUUUUAGGAAGACAUAUAUUUUUAUAUAAUUCUAUCAGUUGGGCUUUUAGAGCUAUAUAUUUGUAAGGGUCAUUUUACUUAACUGCUGUUAAAAUAGAAACAAUCUCUAGCAGCAACAAACCAAAGGGGCAAAUAUAAAUAUUACUAAACUUUUUGCAGGGAUAAAAAUAAAAAGUUGAACUCUGUAUGAAUAUAUUUGCUAUUCGAUAUGUUUAUAAAGAGCUGUAUACAAUCACUACAACAGAAUUAGAUUAUAGGGACACAUGUUUGGGACACUUUUGAGUAAGUGUCCUAUUUAUGCUAAAGCUUAAAAAAACAUCUACUAAUCCCUAAAUAUAAAGACCAAUCCAACCAAAAAUAAAAGAUUACUCUACUCAACCCACCACACCCAGUCCAUUUGGCCCGAUUACAAACAGAAAAAAAAAGAAAAAUCAAUUACCAUCUUUUCUUCUCUCUUCACUCAAUCCUCUGAAAUUCUAGACGAAGAGCCUUUUCUGUCGUCCUCCUCCGCCACCGCAGCCAACGAGAUAGAGUUUCGGCGGUUGCUAAAUGCUUAAAUAAGUAUUGGUAAAUUAGCAGCACUCUUUUCGAUUAUAGCGACACUCUUUAACUGUCACUAUAUAUCUAGCGACCCCACAUAUAGCAACACUUUUUAAAAGUGUCGGUAAUUUUAGCUAGCAGCACUUUUUUGACAUGUAUCUAUAUUUAAAAGUGUCGCUAUAGACCGUUUUUGUUGUAGUGAAUUAACCCUAUAUUUUAUAUACACAUAUUCUCAGCAAUAUAUUAUUUAUACACCCCAAAGAAAAAUUAUAUAAAUUUUACAUUGUAACCUCUGUGCGACUGAAAUUUAUUUUUUUAUUAUUAUUAUUUUAUUAAAAAUUUUUGAAAAAAAUUUAAAUUUUAAAAUUUUAAGGUGUAAAAUGUACCUACCGAUAAUGACAGUACAUAGAGAAUUUUUCUCUAUCUAAUGUGUUACCUCUUCAUGGAAGGUGCAUGAAUUUGUGGAAGGUGAAAGCGUACGAUCGAGGUGACGAUUUGAAUGAUGUAACGUACGUGCAUGCCAUUUGUCCGCUUGCGUGUAGAAUAUAUACAUACGGCAAAAGCUUUAUGGAGGAGCUGAGAAACACUAGUCAAACGUAUCGACAACAACAGUACUAAUCCUGAACAAUCUUUUGGUUGUGUCAUCGUGCACCAUUGACACCUAAGCAUUAAUCUUUUUUCAUAUAGGAAUCUUAUUAUUAUUUUUUAUUAUUUAUAAUACUGAAGCGAAUCAAAUUGAAUUAGCUGGUUGGUUGGUUGGUUUGGUUUGGUCGAUUUUCCAUAGAAAGUUGGAAUUAAUACUUCAGAAAGCAUAUAUAUAUAUAUAUAUAUAUAGAAAGAGAGAGAGACUGAGAGAGUUGAGCUGGAAUACUAUCGAUAGCAAACAGGUUUCGUUGCUAUACAUUUGCUUUCGAUGAUGAAGUCUCAAAAUCGACAUCAUUGACCUAAUGAUCAAAGAGUUUCAAAAUUUAUAAUUUUCGACAUCAUUGACCUAGCUAAUGAUCAACGGGUUUCUAAAAAUUAAAUUUCAAAUCUUUUCGACAUCAUUAGCCUAACGAUCAAAGGGUUUCAAAAUUUAUAAUUUUAAUGGUCGAUAUAAGACGUUUUCUCAUUUAAUGGUAUAAACAUAUCCAAAUCAAUUAAAUUUUGGUUAGAAAAUUCUUUAAACUAUUUAGAACAAGAUCAAUACUCUCGAUCUUGAUUACAAAAUUUAUAUCAUCACUUUUUAGAGGAUAUUCAUUUUCAGCCGUUUAUUUUUACGCCCACUUGAUGAACAAGAAAACAAUAUCGAAAAAGUAUGAAAUUUGAUUUCUAGAUACUUCAAGUGGUAUAGAUCAUUUUUAACGGUGCCGAUCGUUGAUUUUGAGACUUCAUCAUCGAAAACAAAUGGAUAGCAACGGAGCCCGUUUGCUACCGAUAGUAUUCUAACUCAACUCUAUAUAUAUCUCUCUCUCUCUAUAUAUAUAUAUAUAUAUAUAUAUAUAUAGUAGAGCUACUAUGCUAUCGGAAACAUAGAGGAUCUAGUGCUUCCGAUUUUUUUGCCCUUAGAUCAACCCCUUUGAUCAUUUAUAGCCUUUGAAUUAAUACUAUUAUCCUGUACUACCCAACCCUAGGAGUAUUACUCAACCUUGGGGGGACCGCAAUCAUCCCAACCGUAUAAUUUUUAAUCCAAUGGUCAAAAAGUUAGAAGUAUCAGAUCUUUUAUCCUUCCGAUAGUAUAGUAGCUCUACAGCUUGGUGCUAUUAGUAGUAUUCCAGCCUAAUUCUAUAUAUAUAUACAUACAAAGAAUUUUACUCUCACGUCAUUUUCGGCAAUAAAAAGAGUUUGAAUUCGUGAAACUUUUGAUGUUUCAAAUUUCACAAUUUUAAGAUAUUAUUUGCCUAAUAUUCAAGUAGUACUAUCAAAAAAUACAUUUUUUAACUGCUAAUGUAAGAUAAAUUUGAGACUAUUCGAUCACUAGGUAAAUAAUAUCUUAAAUUCAGAAAAUACGGAAUCUAAAAAGUUCAAAUAGCCUAGAUCAAAUUUGACGGUGUGAAUCAUCAAUUCCUAUGCAUUACUCACAGGCAAAA
rnacentral:lncRNA from 1 species